AAUCCAAACUGGUUUGUCGCUGUUUCGAGUAAUCGAGAUGGAGGAAAGUCCGGACAGCAUAGAGUACCAUACCGUCAGAAACGAUGGGUACCAGCGUAAGCUGGUAACAGAAAGUGCCGCAGAAAAUAAACCGCCACGAACUAGUUUCGAGGUAAGGGUGAAAACGUGAGGUAAGAGCUCACGCGCUUUCCGAGUGAUCGGAAUUUGGGUAAACCUUGUGGGCUGAAAGGUCAUGUAAACUCAGGCUUGAGGGCUGCUCGCCCGAACUGAGAGGGUAGACUGAAUAGAUAAAUGACAAGCCACGACAGAAUCCGGCUUAUAGGUUUGGAAACAAA
rnacentral:RNase_P_RNA from 1 species